rnacentral:rRNA from 1 species
UACGUAGGGAGCAAGCGUUGUCCGGAAUCAUUGGGCGUAAAGCGCGCGUAGGUGGCCCCGUAAGUCCGCUGUGAAAGUCAAAGGCUCAACCUUUGAAAGCCGGUGGAUACUGCGGGACUAGAGUACGGAAGAGGCGAGUGGAAUUCCUGGUGUAGCGGUGGAAUGCGCAGAUAUCAGGAGGAACACCAAUAGCGAAGGCAGCUCGCUGGGACGUUACUGACACUGAGGCGCGAAAGCGUGGGGAGCGAACAGG